rnacentral:rRNA from 1 species
GAUGAACGCUAGCGGCAGGCUUAACACAUGCAAGUCGAGGGGUAACAGGAAAAAGCUUGCUUUUUUGCUGACGACCGGCGCACGGGUGCGUAACGCGUAUAGAACUUACCUUUUACAGAGGGAUAGCCUUUAGAAAUGAAGAUUAAUACCUCAUAGUAUUGAAACUUGGCAUCAAGAUUUAAUUAAAGAUUUAUCGGUAAAAGAUGGCUAUGCGUCCUAUUAGCUAGAUGGUAAGGUAACGGCUUACCAUGGCGACGAUAGGUAGGGGCCCUGAGAGGGGGAUCCCCCACACUGGUACUGAGACACGGACCAG